GGGGGGGGGGGGAGACUUAAGGCAAAAGCAGGGAGUUUUCAUUUAAAAAGGGCUGAGGCUGGACCUCUGAGAUCAGUAGGCAGGGGCAGGAUGUGAGCUGAACUCGACAGACAUCCACUGCACACCUGCAAGGAAAGACGGCUAAGAAUGGGGUAGAGAUGAGUCUAACCUGCCUCUGUCUGGAAGACACCGCGUGCGAUGUUCCAUGCUGUCGAGCAUUUUCCUGGCUCACAAGAGACUCCACAUUUACUGGACAGAUGAAUUUAGGCCCCUAGCUCCAGCUGUCAAGCAACAGGGACAUGGGGAAGCCUAUUAGGGUCCUCAGGACUGGACAGCAAGUGCUCCUAGCUGCUGACUCUCCAACCUCACAACAGAAUUCAAAAUCAGCCUGGUCUGGUGGUGCAGGUCUGUAAUCCCAGCACUGGGAAGUGACGACAGGAGGAUCAGGAGUUCAAGUCCAACCUGGGCUACAAUCAAGUGUAGAACGGAAGAGGUAGUUCAGCAGCUUGGAGCGCUGACUCUUCUUCCAAAGGGUCCUAUUUUAAUCCCUGCACUCAGGAGGCAGAGGCAGGUGGAUUUCUGAGCCUGGUCUACAGAGCUAUUUUCAGGACAGUCAGGGUGACACAGAGGGCUAUUUGUGUAUGGAGGUCAGAGGACAUUUUGUGGGAGUCGGUUCUUUCCUUCCACUUCGUGGGUCCUGGGGAUUGAACCCAGGUCAUCAGCCUUCUGGGGCAACCACCUUUUCCUACUUAACCAUCCUCCUUCUCCUCUCACUUUUGUCUGGAGACCCAGGUUUUUUUUUUCUUUCUUUCUUUCUUUCUUUCUUUCUUUCUUUCUUUCUUUCUUUCUUCCUUCCUUUCUUUCUUUCUUUCUUUCCUUUUUUUUUUUUUUAAAGACAGUCUUUGGCUCAGAAACUAAGAGCACUGGUUGCUCUUCCUGGGUGCUGGGUUGGAGUUCCAGUACCCACAUGGUGACUUACAACCUUCUGUAGCCCCGGUGCCAGGAGAUCUAAUGCCAUCUGGCCUCCUUGGGCAUCAGGUCCACACAUGGUGCACAGACCCACAGGGACAAACUGUCUACACAUAAAGCACUUCAACUGUGUAUCUGGGAUCAUAGGUGUGCACUGCCUUGGCUAGUCUAGGUGGUGUUAGGGAGCCCAAGGCUUCCUGCUGGCCAGGCACACACUGUAAUAAUUGAUGCCAUCUUUGUUUUUGCUAUAUUGCUCUGAACUUCUGGCUCCAGACAAGCUGAGCUUCUUUCUGUCUCAGCGUCCCGAGUAGCUGAGAUGUCAGGCACCCAACACUGUGGCUCAGGAAAAUAAUUUAUUAAAGGAGGUUACACCCACAUGGAAACAGUCUGAAGAACAGAGACUGAUGUUUAGUGAGUCAGAAGCUUUAACAAAGGGUGAGAGGAGUUGAUUAGGAAAAAGUACACCUCAAAGGCCCUUUUACUUCCUUCUGCAGGGACUAGGGAUUUCCCCUACUGAUAAGGUCUCAGGUAUUCCAGGCUCCUCUCUUACUGCUGCGUCAGGAUGACCUUGAAUUUACCUUCCCCUGUCUUCACAGGAUCAGCAGCUACUUAUGCCAGGUUUCAUGAGAACCCUAGAAUGGAGAUACCCCAAUCCUCCUGGUCUUUGAAAACAGGACAGGAACCUGCAAGUGGAAUUCGCUGUCACUCAGUCUCCAGCACAAGGGAAUACACAGAUGAAACCUCUCCUGCUGAAGCCUGAGGCUCCUCGAGUGGUGGUGUUGUGGUCAUAUGCCAUUUAUUCUGAGCGCCUAUUCGGCCAACUUCAAUAGGCAAUAACUCAUUUACUAAAACAUGUAAACGACCUCAGCACCAAAGCAGCCAAGUGGAAAACUGCCUUCACCACACACUCCAGAAGAUGCUGUCUUCGGUUUUGGCAGAGGCGGCUGGGAAAAGCCCUCACUCUGCCUUGGAAACACAUCUGGGCUCCUGGCUGCAGCUGUGAUCCAGGAGAAGACAGCAACACCCGGUACCAACUUUUCUCCUUAUAUAGAAAGACCAACCAUCCAGGAAUCACCACCCUCCAGCCUCACAGGGAGGAGCCAGGGGCAGACAGGAGAGGGGAAGUUUCAGUUUCCCGUCACUCAAAGCUCUACCCACAGUGGCAUCUUUUCAUCAAAUGCUACACAAGUGAGGGCUGCUGUGCUUACGGGAAAGCUGAGGACAUUGGCUCAAAGUCACGGUCUCUCACGGAAUUCACUGACUAACUGGGUUAACUGGACAGUGAACUCUGGAGAUCCUCUGGUUUCUGCUCCCCUAGUGCUAGGGUCCAGAUGUGGACGCUGGGGAAUCCACUCAGGGCCUCACGCUUGUGUGACAAGCAUUUGACCCACUGAGCCAUCUCCCCAGCCCCGCACCCCGGCCUCUAACUGGACGGCUGCAGUACCCACUCAGCACAUGCUGUUGGUGGCACACACAUGGACCACCAUGUGUUAAUGUUCUAGGGGCAAAAGCAGACCCAACACUAGGAAACGGACAAAUGAAUUGUAAGUUAAGUACCCUUCCUUUUGUUGGUGACUCUUGGCGAUUGAAUCCACAGCUUUGCGCAUGCUAGGUUCUACUACGAACCAUGUCCUGGUCCAGAGGACCCUCAAGAAAUCAGACUAUAAGCCGGGCGAUGGUGGCGCACGCCUUUAAUCCCAGCACUCGGGAGGCAGAGGCAGGUGGAUCUCUGUGAGUUUGAGACCAGUCUGGUCUACAGAGCUAGUUCCAGGACAGGCUCCAAAGCCACAGAGAAACCCUGUCUCGAAAAACCAAAAGAAAGAAAGAAAUCAGACUAUAGCGAGGAAGAGAUGACCCCCGUUGGUACAUUGGUACAUCCGCUGAUCUCGCCUCCCUCUUCUACACAACCCCACACAGCCCCUACUACUAUUGUUUCUCUCAAACUGGGGGUCUCAUCUAGGCCAGGUUGGCCUUCAACCCCUGGUCCUCCUGCCUUUCCCUACCAAGUGCUGGGAUUACAGGGCAUGCCACCAUACCUGGCUUCACCCACUCUGGGUAUCCGCUGCCAAGUUUUCUGAUUGGCGCAUGCCUUUAGUCCCAGCACUCAGAAGGCAGAGACAAGUGGAUCUCGGUGAGUUCGAGGCCAGCCUGGUCUAUAGAGUGAGUUCUAGGACAGGAUCUAAAGAUACAGAGGAACCCUGCCUUGAAAAACCCAAACCAAAAAAAAAAAACAAACCAAUCCAAACAUCACCGAGGAGUACCACCAUAUUCUGCCCUCUCCCCUCUAAAGUGCUGCUAACAACAUGCCAUGAGGAAAUUAAAAGAACCAUUCAAGGUGUGGGAGCAUUCUGAAAAUGAAGGAAGGCACAUGGUUUUAAUCUAGGACUCGGGAGGCAGAGGCAAGCAGAUCUCGGUAAAUUACAGAACAGCCAGGGCCACAAGGUGAGACCUUGCUCCAAAAUUGGAAAAAAAAAAAGGGCCUAUAUAAACACGAAUUGUUUAGUAAUCAUUGUUACCACCCCAACACUCUGGGAAUCCGACCAGACAGGAAGGCUAGGGAGGGGAAAACGCCUGACUUCUGAGGCAGUGGCCUUGGUUUUCUGCUGUCUUCCUUUCUCCACCAACUCAGUGAUCACAAGAUGCAGCUUGAACUUUUGCACUGAUUUCUACAUAACAGGGUGCGUAAGCAGGGCAGUGCCAAGGCCUACAGGGCUACUUCCUCGUCCGUGCCCUCACCACCCACAAACUGCUGAACCUCCCGUUCUCAGUGCCCUCCUGGGUUGCAGUAAGGAUUAAACGAUUAAGUACAAUACACUCGACAAGACUCUGAAAAGUGUUCAGCACCAAGCAAGCAAUCAUCAGUUACAGCAACUCCCUGCUUCCUGGUUCAGGGUGCAGCAGAGAGGUCAGCCAGCCACGUGCAAACCGAGCAUCCUCACUGGAGAAUUGAAGCACAGCUUGGAAGUGAAUCCUGGCGGAGAGCAGGAGCCAUCUAAAAACAGCUCCCUUUUAUUUUAGUAUUAACACCCACACAGAAAUCUGUGCAGGUCAAAGAGCGAGGACAGUUGGCACCUGCCUAUCAAGCCCUGUGCAGUUCUCAAGGCCGAGGAGGCAGGCCGGUACUAGCACUGGCUUCUGUAAGGUCUUUUCCCAGAACAGGUUAAAUAUGCAAAUGCACGCUGGUGGGUAUCUGCUGCAAUUCCUGGCCGCACCUCCAAGGCAAACACGUUACCUCAGGUGACUCUUGGCCCUGCAGGGAAGGGACUGGACCCAAGCCCCUGUCAAUUGCCGGACUAGCACGCGUAGACUACAGGCCCUCUUCUGGGUUGUCUGAGAAUAAAGGCAGGGGCGUUUUCAGACACAACAGAUCCCUGGAGCACAUCAUGCCAUAAAAUACGGCAGAAUGGCAGAGGAGGUCGGCUAGUAUGAGAUAGGAAACUGGCUUUAAAAAAUGGUCCUAAAUUCUUUGAUUAAUUCUUAGCUGCACAUUCAAGGUAACAAUUCAAGCCAGGUAAUGUGUUACCUAUGAUCGGAACAGUCCACAGGCCGAGGCAGACCAAUCUCAUGCUCGCCAGCACAUGCACACGAACCAAGUUAUUCAUGAAGACAAUGAGUAGCUUUUUGUGUCUAUUAAAAAAGGACAGGCUGGGUGUAGUGGUGCACACCUUUAAGCCCAGCACUUUGAGUUUGAGGCCAGCCUGGUCUGCAGAGUUACAGGACAGCCAGGGCUACACAGAGAAGCCCUGCCUUGAAACAAGUAAAACAAAAAGCUCUGACGUGCUAUCAAAUAUUUAUUUUAAGCAGGUUCACCUAGUAAGCCAUACUAGACAACCUGAAUUUAGUUUAUUCUAAGGUUCUGAAAGCUGUUGUUUCUAUUUCAAACUUUCUGACGUCUACUCAAGCUGCAGUGUGUCUGUGGAGGUUCAAGCGAUAAUUUGCAGGCGCUGGUUCUCCUUCUACCAUGUGGGUGGGCAGACUCAGCAGUAAGCACCUUUAUCCGCUCAGCCAAUAGGCAGGCCCCAUUCCCUUUUUUUCUACCUUCUAGUAAAUUCUUUUACUUUCAAAACCCCUCCCUACCCCCUUUCCUUCUUUUUUUCCCCCCCCCCCCCCCAAGAUAGGAUUUAACUGUGUGGCCUUGGCUGUCCUGGAACUCACUCUAUAGAUCAGGCUGACCCCUAGCUCACAGGGAUCUGCCUGCUUCUGAGUGCUGGGAUUGAAAGCACUUGCCCCCACUGCCAGGAUUUCUCCCUUUUGAGCUAGGGUCUUACUGACAUCAACUGCAAGACUGCAAAGCCUCAGAUUCCCUAGUGCUGAGAUCACAGGGACGAGUCACCAAGUCUGCUUAUUAUUUUUGCUGUUUUCUCUUGAUACAUUAUCAUGUAGCCCUGGCUGUUCUAGGGCUAUGUAGGUCAGGAUGGCUUCAAAUUUGGCAAAAUCCCAAGUGCUGGGAUCAAAGGUGAGUCACCAUGACUAGCCUAAUUUGAACUUUUUUUUUCCGACACAGGGUUUCUCUGUGUUGCUUUAGAGCCUGUCCUGGAACUAACUCUAGUAGACCACUCUGGUCUUGAACUCAGAGGUCUGCACGCAUCUGCCUCCCAAGUACUGGGAUUAAAAGUGUGCACUACCCUUGCUUGGCUUCCCCCCCACCCCCACCUGUUAACAGUCGUGGCUGUCCUGGAACGCUUAGAGUGGACUAGUCUGAUCCUGAACUCACUAAGACCCACCUUCCUUUGCCUCUCAAGGGCUGGGAUUAAAGGUGUGUGCUGCCACUGCCCGGCUCUAUUUUAAACUUUUAAAAAUACUUUUCUGGGCUUUGUGACAGAGAUGCCCAGCACCAAGACUGAAGACUCGAGGUUGAUUCCUGAGACUCGUGCAGUAGGAAGAGAGAACUGAUACCCAUAAGUUGUCCUCUAAUUUUCAUGAACUCACUGUGGUAUGUGUACACUCACACAAAAAAUAAAGUGCUGUUUACAUUAACAAAACACUUGAGGCUGGAAUGAAGUUUACUAGUAUCAUGUAUGUGAGUGAAGUUUACAAGUAUCAUGUAUGUAGCAAGCCAAGGGUCCAUCCCCAGCACUGGAAAGGAGACACACAGGAACACACAACCUCCAAAACAUGGUGCCCCUCAAAGCAAAGUAAGACCUGUUUGGUCAAAUACACUUUUUCACUUACUACAAAAGCCUGUCUAAGAUGCCACAGGCUCCAAGAGAGCUCAGCUGUGUGUGCUCAGCACUGCCAGAAGUCUAGGUUUUAAUUCAGAGGACCCACAAACAAGUUUCUGGUCGAGCGAAUACAUUAUGACAUUUCUUUGAUAAUUUAAAAACUGAAGACGAGAGCUGGAAAGCCUUUAGAGGCCCCGGGUUCAGUUCCUGACACCCACACUGAGUAGCUUACAAUCACCUGUGAUUCCAGGUCCAGGGCACGCAAUGCCCUCUUUUGACAUUGUAAUACAUGCUCACAUGCAUUAAUUAAAAAUAAUAAAAUCUUCUUGAUGAUAGGUCAUCUUAUUGAUGAUCAGUCUAUAAAUCUGGAUCUAAGGUCAGGUGUGGUAGUCCUAGCACUUGGGAGUUUGAGGCUAGCCUGGUGUACACAGUACCAAGACAGUCAGGACUACACAGAAAAACCACGCCUCCAAACAAAUGGACAAGCAAAAGAACAAAACAAAAACUGAAGUUUAGGGGACAUUUACAGCAGGCAGCUUGCCAAGCUUAAGGCAGCGUUUGUACUUGAUGGGUGCCAGCUGAGAGCCUGUGAACAGGAUUUUCCUCCUGCCCUCAUGCCACAGACCACAGAGCCUGCUGGGACUCACUACAGGAUGUACUCCAUACCUAGCAGGCAUGGAAAUGCCAUUUGCAUUCUUAACUUUUUCUAGAUUGUUAGGAGCCUGUGGGACUAGGCCAGUAGUUCUCAACUUUCCUCAUGCUGUGACCCUUUAAUACAAUUCUUCAUGUUGUGGUGAACAAAACUACUUCAUUGCUUCUUCAUAACUGUAAUUUUGCUACUGUUAAGAAUUGUAAUGUAAAUAUUUUUGGAGACAGAGGUUUGUCAAAGGUGCCAUGACUCACAGGUUGAGAACUAAAGCACUAGGUGCCCAUUAUCCAAGUAAAUGAAAACAUCCUUUUCUAGAGCUCUGCCAUUCAGGGUAUGCAUACAUGCAGAUUCCAGAAACUCGUGGAAGUCAGGCCCGAUGCCUCCCAUUCUCACGGUAGUGCUUGUGGGUAUAGACUGCUGCUGGGCCAUUUAGCUGGGAUGCAGUAAAAAAAUGAGACUUACGUAGAAAGAGUUGGAGUGCCCAAGCCCUCUCAUGUUCAAGGACUAUCAAGUCAUCACUCUUGCAAGUCUUCUGGGCUCCUACUGGCUCAAGUUAAGUAGUAAUGUAUUUUGAGGCAUGUAGCUGUAUCUAUGUUAGUGGUUAAUGGAACCAGGCAACCACUGGACAGAGGGUUAUUACACUGCUCCAGUGGGAUCCAGGACACAUGAACAGGGUAUGGGAUUUGAUUAGUUUCCUAGACUUUGAGCUUAAAAAAUAGUUUUUCUUUCUCUAAUAUUCUACCCUGAAUCAAGUUUAUAAACAAAUCCCAAAGAUUUAAUAUAAUACAAAUAUAGUUCAUACUCAGCCUCCUUUUUCUUCAAGUAAACACAAAAUAAAAUAGUGAAGGAGAUGAAACAACAGGAGCCCAGCAUGGCGAUUCUGAUGUUAGCUAGCCAAGACUAUAUAAAUUAUAUUGGUCUAAGCCCAGCACUUUUGAGUUCAAGACUAGCCUGAACUACAUAGUGAGACCUUCCCUCAAAUAAACAAAUAAGUAAGUAAGUAAAUAAAUAAUCCAUCUGUUAAUUUGGGUACCGCUUUUCAAGUUUGAUCAGUCCCUGAAAAAAACCAAAACCAAAACAACCCAACCAAACAAAAAUCAACCAGUCAACCAAAAACAAAGUUAAGUAACAACCUUUCCAAAAUCCACGAGGCAAGAUCACUUUUCAUUUUAUUUAUUUAGUUUUGAUUGCUACUACUCAGAUUUCCUAGUUAGUCUUCUCUCAAUACUGCUGCAGUACCUUAUGUGUCAUUAGAUGUAAGGACCAUAUUAUUGACUGUAAACCAUGAUGCUGGGUUAUGUUUGAAUGAAAACAUUUGAUGUGGAUGAUCAGAUGAAAGAUACCAAAAUGUCAGACAGCCCAUCGACUGCUGUUGCCAUGAGAUUCAACAGUCAACAUCAGUCUGAUAAGCUACCCGACAAGGUGGUACAGCCAUGCAGAUGUCACGACGGUUGGCAAGCAAGAGGUGGCCAGGCAGGACUUAAAGCAAAGCAAGCAUCUCUGGCCUGCCGAGGCUUAACGCCAAUUCUAGGAAAGAAAGUGGUUUAUUUUCCUACCAAGCAAAACAAAAUGAAUAGGGUCAAUCAGAAAAAUGUCAAAGGAAAAUCACAUUAAGAAUAAAACACAGAAACACACAGAAGUAAACUUCCACCUGUUAAUGUUAGAUACAAACAGCUAAAACGAACACGAACAUGAAAGAGUGGUUCUCACUAGUGCCCUUUGAGUUAUACAUCACUACUUCUUUCUUUAAUAUAAAGCAAGAGAUUCCCAUGCUAGGUGAACCUCACUCUCUGGGUCCAGCAUAACAAGAUAUCUUGGUGGUGGUUCUUUGAGGCAAUCAAUUAAAGCUUAGGCAAUUCUAGUUUUAAGUAUAUUUGGCAAGGCUGCAACUCACUUGGUAGAAGUGAAAAAGAAGCAAAAAACCAUAGCACUAAAGAAAACGGACACAAUUUCGGAAUGAUCAAAGAUGUCUUUAUAAAGUUUUUCAUGACUUCAUUCUAAAUAUACAGAAUAAAAAAUAGUGUACUCAUUUGUGAGACACCAACCAGAUUUUCCUUAUACCUGUCUCAAAAUUUAAAGAUCAAUUUCCCCAGAGGGUGUGCAAUGCAUCAUAAAAUGGCCUUUUUUGAGGGUGGGAAAGGAAGGCAUAUUAAAUUGUUCCAUGAUAGACAUGCAAAACUGCUAUCCAAUAUAUAUAACUUAUAUACAUUUGAUGACUUAGAAAAAAACAAUCAUUUGUGACAAGCCUAAAAAGCCCGACAUAUUUAACAUACUUUAGAACGUUUAGUGUGGCAGGAGUUCUCCAAUUGUACCAUGGGCCCUUU